rnacentral:rRNA from 2 species
UGCAGUCGAGCGACUGAUUAGAAGCUUGCUUCUAUGACGUUAGCGGCGGACGGGUGAGUAACACGUGGGCAACCUGCCUGUAAGACUGGGAUAACUUCGGGAAACCGAAGCUAAUACCGGAUAGGAUCUUCUCCUUCAUGGGAGAUGAUUGAAAGAUGGUUUCGGCUAUCACUUACAGAUGGGCCCGCGGUGCAUUAGCUAGUUGGUGAGGUAACGGCUCACCAAGGCCACGAUGCAUAGCCGACCUGAGAGGGUGAUCGGCCACACUGGGACUGAGACACGGCCCAGACUCCUACGGGAGGCAGCAGUAGGGAAUCUUCCGCAAUGGACGAAAGUCUGACGGAGCAACGCCGCGUGAGUGAUGAAGGCUUUCGGGUCGUAAAACUCUGUUGUUAGGGAAGAACAAGUACAAGAGUAACUGCUUGUACCUUGACGGUACCUAACCAGAAAGCCACGGCUAACUACGUGCCAGCAGCCGCGGUAAUACGUAGGUGGCAAGCGUUAUCCGGAAUUAUUGGGCGUAAAGCGCGCGCAGGCGGUUUCUUAAGUCUGAUGUGAAAGCCCACGGCUCAACCGUGGAGGGUCAUUGGAAACUGGGGAACUUGAGUGCAGAAGAGAAAAGCGGAAUUCCACGUGUAGCGGUGAAAUGCGUAGAGAUGUGGAGGAACACCAGUGGCGAAAGGCGGCUUUUUGGUCUGUAACUGACGCU